rnacentral:lncRNA from 1 species
AAUCAAAAGAACCUCAAAACAAAAAUCUGAACAGCAAGGAUCUCUGCGGCUAAUCUGGAGCUCAACCAUGAACUAAAUCAGCGGCGAAGAUCAACAGCAAUCAACAGAGUUUGAACCCAGAACAUUUUUAGUGAAAUUCACUUUUGAAUCCCGUUCUUCUUUUGGUUAUGUUUUGUUUUGAUUUUGAGCUUAUUGUGUUACAGAUCUAGAAUCUAAAAUUCAAAAUCAAGGCUACUUCUAUGAGUCUAAUUGUGUGUGCGCGCCUAAACUAUAGAGAAUGGGAGAAGAACGUGAUACCAUUGGAGUGCGUGUCGUCCCGGCCCCUCUCCC